GCGAAGGUGGUGGAAUUGGUAGACACGCACGCUUGAGGGGCGUGUGCCGCAAGGCGUGAGGGUUCAAGUCCCUCUCUUCGCACCA
rnacentral:tRNA from 1 species